AGUGAAUAGAUACCCGGGUAGUCCACGCCGUAAACGUUGGGCACUAGGUGUGGGCUCCAACCAACGGAGUCCGUGCCGUCGCUAAACGCAUUAAGUGCCCCGCCUGGGGAGUACGGCCGCAAGGCUAAAACUCAAAGGAAUUGACGGGGCCCCGCACAAGCAGCGGAGCGUGUUGCUUAAUUCGAUGCGACGCGAAGAACCUUACCUGGGCUUGACAUGCAGGGAAAAGCCGUAGAGAUACGGUGUCCUUCGGGCCUUGCACAGGUGGUGCAUGGCUGUCGUCAGCUCGUGUCGUGAGAUGUUGGGUUAAGUCCCGCAACGAGCGCAACCCUUGUCCUAUGUUGCCAGCGGAUAACGCCGGGGACUCGUAGGAGACUGCCGGGGUCAACUCGGAGGAAGGUGGGGAUGACGUCAAGUCAUCAUGCCCCUUAUGUCCAGGGCUGCAAACACGCUACAAUGGCCGGUACAAAGGGCUGCUAUCCCGCGAGGGUGAGCGAAUCCCAGAAAGCCGGUCUCAGUUCGGAUUGGAGUCUGCAACUCGAC
rnacentral:rRNA from 1 species